rnacentral:rRNA from 1 species
AAUAGAUACCCUGGUAGUCCACCCCGUAAACGUUGGGAACUAGUUGUGGGGUCCUUUCCACGGAUUCCGUGACGCAGCUAACGCAUUAAGUUCCCCGCCUGGGGAGUACGGCCGCAAGGCUAAAACUCAAAGGAAUUGACGGGGACCCGCACAAGCGGCGGAGCAUGCGGAUUAAUUCGAUGCAACGCGAAGAACCUUACCAAGGCUUGGCAUACACCAGAACACCCUAGAAAUAGGGGACUCUUUGGACACUGGUGAACAGGUGGUGCAUGGUUGUCGUCAGCUCGUGUCGUGAGAUGUUGGGUUAAGUCCCGCAACGAGCGCAACCCUCGUUCUAUGUUGCCAGCACGUAAUGGUGGGAACUCAUGGGAUACUGCCGGGGUCAACUCGGAGGAAGGUGGGGAUGACGUCAAAUCAUCAUGCCCCUUAUGUCUUGGGCUUCACGCAUGCUACAAUGGCCGGUACAAAGGGCUGCAAUACCGUGAGGUGGAGCGAAUCCCAAAAAGCCGGUCCCAGUUCGGAUUGAGGUCUGCAACUCGA